CCUACGGGGUGCUGCAGUGGGGAAUAUUGGACAAUGGGCGAAAGCCUGAUCCAGCCAUGCCGCGUGUGUGAAGAAGGCCUUCGGGUUGUAAAGCACUUUCAGUGGGGAAGAAAGCCUUGGGGCUAAUACCCUCGAGGAAGGACAUCACCCACAGAAGAAGCACCGGCUAACUCCGUGCCAGCAGCCGCGGUAAUACGGAGGGUGCGAGCGUUAAUCGGAAUUACUGGGCGUAAAGCGCGCGUAGGCGGUCUGAUAAGCCGGUUGUGAAAGCCCCGGGCUCAACCUGGGAACGGCAUCCGGAACUGUCAGGCUAGAGUGCAGGAGAGGAAGGUAGAAUUCCCGGUGUAGCGGUGAAAUGCGUAGAGAUCGGGAGGAAUACCAGUGGCGAAGGCGGCCUUCUGGACUGACACUGACGCUGAGGUGCGAAAGCGUGGGUAGCAAACAGGAUUAGAUCCCGAGUAGUC
rnacentral:rRNA from 1 species